AGAGUGAUGGGAGAGCUCGGAUUUGGUCGCCCGUGCAGGUUCGGUCCGUGCGGGUUUUAAACUCCGAGCCAGAGCAGC
rnacentral:pre_miRNA from 1 species